rnacentral:rRNA from 1 species
GAAGUCGGAAUUGCUAGUAAUGGCAGGUCAGCAUACUGCCGUGAAUACGUUCCCGGGCCCUUGUACACACCGCCCGUCACACCAUGAGAGUUGGAGAUACCCGAAGCCUGUGAGCUAACAGAAAUGGAGCAGCAGUCGAAGGUAGAAUCAAUGAUUGGGGUGAAGUCGUAACAAGGUAGC